rnacentral:rRNA from 1 species
AUUGAACGCUGGCGGCAGGCUUAACACAUGCAAGUCGAGCGGUAGCACAGGGGAGCUUGCUCCCUGGGUGACGAGCGGCGGACGGGUGAGUAAUGUCUGGGAAACUGCCUGAUGGAGGGGGAUAACUACUGGAAACGGUAGCUAAUACCGCAUAACGUCGCAAGACCAAAGAGGGGGACCUUCGGGCCUCUUGCCAUCAGAUGUGCCCAGAUGGGAUUAGCUAGUAGGUGGGGUAAUGGCUCACCUAGGCGACGAUCCCUAGCUGGUCUGAGAGGAUGACCAGCCACACUGGAACUGAGACACGGUCCAGACUCCUACGGGAGGCAGCAGUGGGGAAUAUUGCACAAUGGGCGCAAGCCUGAUGCAGCCAUGCCGCGUGUGUGAAGAAGGCCUUCGGGUUGUAAAGCACUUUCAGCGAGGAGGAAGGUGGUGAACUUAAUACGUUCAUCAAUUGACGUUACUCGCAGAAGAAGCACCGGCUAACUCCGUGCCAGCAGCCGCGGUAAUACGGAGGGUGCAAGCGUUUAUCGGAAUUACUGGGCGUAAAGCGCACGCAGGCGGUUUGUUAGUCAGAUGUGAAAUCCCCGGGCUCAACCUGGGAACUGCAUUUGAAACUGGCAAGCUAGAGUCUCGUAGAGGGGGGUAGAAUUCCAGGUGUAGCGGUGAAAUGCGUAGAGAUCUGGAGGAAUACCGGUGGCGAAGGCGGCCCCCUGGACGAAGACUGACGCUCAGGUGCGAAAGCGUGGGGAGCAAACAGGAUUAGAUACCCUGGUAGUCCACGCUGUAAACGAUGUCGAUUUGGAGGUUGUGCCCUUGAGGCGUGGCUUCCGGAGCUAACGCGUUAAAUCGACCGCCUGGGGAGUACGGCCGCAAGGUUAAAACUCAAAUGAAUUGACGGGGGCCCGCACAAGCGGUGGAGCAUGUGGUUUAAUUCGAUGCAACGCGAAGAACCUUACCUACUCUUGACAUCCAGAGAACUUUCCAGAGAUGGAUUGGUGCCUUCGGGAACUCUGAGACAGGUGCUGCAUGGCUGUCGUCAGCUCGUGUUGUGAAAUGUUGGGUUAAGUCCCGCAACGAGCGCAACCCUUAUCCUUUGUUGCCAGCGGUUCGGCCGGGAACUCAAGGGAGACUGCCAGUGAUAAACUGGAGGAAGGUGGGGAUGACGUCAAGUCAUCAUGGCCCUUACGAGUAGGGCUACACACGUGCUACAAUGGCAUAUACAAAGAGAAGCGACCUCGCGAGAGCAAGCGGACCUCAUAAAGUAUGUCGUAGUCCGGAUUGGAGUCUGCAACUCGACUCCAUGAAGUCGGAAUCGCUAGUAAUCGUAGAUCAGAAUGCUACGGUGAAUACGUUCCCGGGCCU